CCUCCCUCUCCCUUGGCUGUCGUCGAUCGUCACCACCAUUGUCGUCGGGUACACUACCACGAUCGUCACCACUCUUACUGUCAGGUACACUGCCAUGGUCGUCGUUGCUACCACGGCCACCGACUUCAAAGGCAUGGCACCAGGAGGACGACCACAUAGGGGGGCCCAUGCAGAGAUGAGGCAGCCACAUCAUCUCUUGCAAUGACAGGAGGACCAUCUCACAGAAAAGAGCCACAUGGAGAUGUCGACGCAUCUCCAUCUCAGCAGCAGUCGGGUCAUCCAAAGGCAGGCACAUCAUCUUCUACCAUGACAGGUUGAUUUUACGUAUUAUAAUUUUUUAUAUUUAACUUACUUUAAUUUUUAAUCAUGUAUAAAUAAUUGAUUUCAUACUAUGUG